rnacentral:rRNA from 1 species
UGGGGAAUAUUGCACAAUGGGCGAAAGCCUGAUGCAGCGACGCCGCGUGAGGGAUGACGGCCUUCGGGUUGUAAACCUCUUUCAGCAGGGACGAAGCGCAAGUGACGGUACCUGCAGAAGAAGCACCGGCUAACUACGUGCCAGCAGCCGCGGUAAUACGUAGGGUGCAAGCGUUGUCCGGAAUUACUGGGCGUAAAGAGUUCGUAGGCGGUUUGUCGCGUCGUUUGUGAAAACCAGCAGCUCAACUGCUGGCUUGCAGGCGAUACGGGCAGACUUGAGUACUGCAGGGGAGACUGGAAUUCCUGGUGUAGCGGUGAAAUGCGCAGAUAUCAGGAGGAACACCGGUGGCGAAGGCGGGACUCUGGGCAGUAACUGACGCUGAGGAACGAAAGCGUGGGUAGCGAACAGG